rnacentral:rRNA from 1 species
GACGAACGCUGGCGGCGUGCCUAACACAUGCAAGUCGAGCGAACGGACGAGGAUCUUGCGGCGCUGACGUUAGCGGAGGGGGGGUGAGUAACACGUGGAUAACCUACCUAUAAGACGGGGAUCACUACGGGAAACCGGCGCUAAUAGGGGAUAAUAUCUUGCACCGCAUGGGUCAAAAGUGAAAGUCGGUCUUGCUGUCACGUAUAGAUGGAUCCGCGCUGCAUUAGCUAGUUGGUAAGUUAACGGCUUACCAAGGCAAGGAGGCGUAGCCGAACUGAGAGGGUGGUCGGCCACACUGGAACUGAGACGCGGCCCAGACUCCUACGGGACGCCGCAGUAGGGAAUCUUACGCAAUGGGCGAAAGCCUGACGGAGCGACGCGGCGCGAGUGAUGACGGUCUUCCGAUCGUAAAACGCUGUUACUAGUUGAAAACAUAUGUGUAAUUAACUGUGCACAGCUUGACGGUACCUAGUCAAGAAGCCCCGGCUAACUACGUG